rnacentral:tRNA from 1 species
UCCGCAGUAGCUCAGUGGUAGAGCUAUCGGCUGUUAACCGAUCGGUCGUAGGUUGAGUCCUACCUGCGGAGCCA